GCUAAGAAACCAAAAUUGUUAAAUACCUUCCUGGAGAGGAAAAAAGACCUCCUGGCAGACAGAAGGAUUUUUCCAAGCAAUUUACACCCUUACCCACCUGUGGGAUAUCCAUCUCCCAUCCUUCCCCAGCUACGUGGUUUUGGUUCCCCCUCUGGGAGAGCUGUGUCAGCGCAGUGACUCAAACCCCAGCACUGCCAGCCCUGUGUCCCACCUGUGGUGAUGUGAAACACCUUCCCACACAAGAGCUGUCCCUGAGGCUGCUGCUCCGUGCCUGCCCAGCUCAGCACACCCAAAUGCUGGGAGGUGAGGGUGAGCUGCUGCCUUCACUACACCUGAUGGGGCCUGUCAUAAAACCACAUGGAGGUCAGCAAUGAAUUCAGUAGGAAAGAGGGUGUCUUGAAUGUAACCGUGGGCUCCAGCAGCUACCGAGUGCACUCCCGGCAGCCACCCCGUGAAACACAGGCUACUUAACGUCUCACUCACACACCUCACACUUCCUUAUGAGUAAACAGGAACAUACAUGGGUUUUGCUUGGAGUUAUUGCUUUCCUGUGCCCAACAAGAGGUGUGAAUCUCAUCCCACCAGCUCCCACCCCAGGAGGAUGGAGACUGCCUUUUGGGCAACUCCUAUGACAUUAGCCUUCAAAGUCAUGUCCUUUUGUGGCACAGAAUGGCUUGAAGGAAAGCAGUGGGGAAGGGACUGGACCACUGACACCUGGAGGAGAUCUGCAGGAGCCCAGCAGGGCUGGGAUGAGGGAAUGGGCUUCAUGGAGGAAAGACCUGAGCCCCUGCAGCUGCCCAGAGCAUCCCAGGCUGGCACUGCCUGACGGCCCUGCCGGAUGCCUGGGGCUGGGCUCAGCUGCCAGCAAUCUGACCGCAAGCCCUUUCAUUAGUAUGGAAGAGUGUUCCUCUAUAAACAGCUUGCUGUCCUUUGGGGUAAACAGGAAAUCUUCCCCUUCGAGGCAGAUUGCAGCUCUUUGUGGUGCUGCCAUGCCCAUCACGGCGGACAGCGCAAGGGGCUGUGCCAUCCGUCUCCUCCUAAAGGCUGCUUCCCUCUCCUGCUCAUCUACCAAACACAGAGAGCAGGCUCCCGGGAGAGAAAACAGAUCCCAUCAUUGUUUGUAGGAAACACAAACUGUCCAUUAUGAAAUUAAAACAGGAAAUGAAGCACUGAGGGGGAUGGGGGGAUUCCUCCCCCUAAGCACCUAACAGAGGCUCAUAUACAGAGAGAGAACUUGCAGCAGAUCACGUCUCAUUAUUAGCCAGAUGUGCAAGCCUAUGAAAAAUGAACCCAAAUGCUCAUCUCUGGCUAAUUUAUUGUUGAUAUGUUUCUCAUUUCCAUGCCUCACUGACAAGAUCUUUUUUUUCCACACUUACACAAAUUCUGCCUGUUUCUUCUAGGUAAACUUUGGCCUGUGCUCAGCAAGGCACUUAAACACAUGCCCUGCUGUGCCGUGUGGCUGUCUCCCAGGCCUCACCUGAAAUAAAUGGGGAAAUUCAAGCAGCUGAGAGCAGUGCUAAGGCUUCACAUCACGAGAUGCUCUCACCAGCCCUGUUUGAUCAGCAAGGCUCUGCUGCCUUACUGCGUGCCUUCUUGCUGAUGGAAAGAGUAACACAUAAUGAAGCCUAGAGGCUGCAGCCUACUCUGAGAAAGUGUAUAUGUGAGCAACAGAAAGAAACUUCAUACAAUGGGCUUUCAGCUAAAGCAUCCACGUGGAAAUGGAUCACUUCAGAAUGCCUAGCAAUGGAAGUACAAAUGUCCAAAUAACAACUAGAUAGUGAACCCAAAGAAAUGGUUUACUUUCAGACUGUGUUGGUUUGUAGUUCACAGAGGUGGUAGGUGACGGUUCACUGGAAUUGUUAAACUUCAUUGAGAUUUUCUGCACAAUGGCUGUGUCUCGAGCAAGAUAAACAAGCAAACACAUCAAGCUCUCUUGCAGGCAGAGCUCUCUGCUCCGUGUGAAAAGCUGAAAGAGCUACCAUGGUUUGCAAGUACAAAGACAAAGGCAGAAAUGCGCCAUGCAGGAAAGGUAGCCAGGGGACCUCAGGCACAAAGAGAGUUUUACAGUGCUGUUCUGAACCUUUGCACAACCCAGUGGGAGCACGAAGACCAAGAACAGAGCCAGUGAGGAGGCAGGUAAUGUCUUGCUGGAUUUUGAGCAGAGUUUCCCUACACUAAGAAGACUGCAGAGAUGUUGGUGUCUGUGGAGUCAGCUCACCGAGAGAUUUUGGUAAUGUCACUCUCCGAGGAACUCUGCUGGCUUAGCGGAUCCUCGAACAAGCAGCUGGGGCAAAGCAGUGAGCAACUGGAGUCACUUUCGAUGUCCUGCAGACCUGUACUCAACCACACUCAGGAGGUCUUUCCUUUUUUACUGCCCUGCAAUUCAUUUCAGGCAUCUGCCCCUGUCACGUAAGGUGAGCAGCUCACCUGAAGGAUGCACAGCUAGGCAAGGACGGACCGCAGGAGCCUGCAUCUGUUAGGAAACCAGCACGCCUGCUCACCCAUCGUGCCAAAGAAAUAAAUGAACCUGGACAGUGCUAAUGAAUGAUAAGAUCCUCUGUGAUUGAACUGCUCCCCUGUCAUGGAGGUUGGUGGGACUGAUCUAUAAACAGGAGCUGACACGAGGAAAUGGGAGUCCUCAAGAGCAGACAGAGCCAAAGAGUCAUUGCACUGCACACCCCCCAAAUGUUUAUCAUAUUGUCUCCUUCUGGAAAGUGGAGGAAUGAAAGCACUGGAUGAAUGGAUCCAAAUGCUCUGCUUCAUGUAGCAAAGGUUUCACCACAGGGCUCUUAUACUGGAAAGUUACACGUUUAAUGUUUCUGCUGGGUGAGAAGCUGCUGCCCAUCGAGGCUGUGAACAGCUAGAGGAAGACUUGAUGCCUCCAGUAAUCCCGGUAGUAGUGAAGGGGAAUGGGUGGGCUUGUAGCGGAGGGCCAGCUAGCACUGAAGAGGAAAUUUGGGGGGAGAAAAAAGUGCUGAGGGAUUACAGAGAGCACCCAGCCUCCGCUGAGGCCCUCUGUCAGCCUCCUGCCCAACCUCCCCAGCACGGGAAAGGUUGGAAGGAGGGAAGCGCAAGGAGAUCGCACCUCUGAUGGCAGAGGGACAGCAGUGAGUGAAACAGGUAAAAGGUGUGAGGGUCAAUUGCUCAAAUGAGGAGCAAGGAAGCACCAUAAAUGUUUGGUUUUGUGAUUCUGCUUGCACGCCCAUGCUUCGUUAAGCUAGCAGGUGUCAGCACAGCCUGUGUUGUCCAUGAGAGUGUCUCUGGAGCCUGUGGCCAGCUGUCCUGCUAAACGUUUCAUUUGCAGUACCUGUAACAGUGUUCCUUUGCAAAACAGAGCAGGAUGGCGGUCCCUGUCAAAAAUACGGUGCUGUGGAAGAACUGGAAGAGCUCCCUUCUUCCCCAGGAGCUGCAAUGCCAACACUGCAUCACCAGCCUACGCAGGUCUCCUCGUUCCCUUGCCCCAAAAAGUAGAGCUCGAAUAGAAAAGACUAAGGUAAAAAUAAACACUGCUCAACUCUUUCAUUCAUUGCAAGCUGUCAAAUGGGACAGGUUCAGUGGAAAAACUGAUGUGUGACUGUGUCAUUACGCGUUGAGUCACCCUGUGUGCGCGGGUAGCAGGGUGGAGGGCUGGGGCGGCUGCAGGCAGCCUUAGCUUUAGCAUGGCCUGGCCUUCAGGGCAAAGCUGGCCAGAAGCAGGAAUUUAUUGUGUUUUGAGAACUUCCUUCAAUCUGGGGGCGAAAAGCCAGAACCCCCUGUGAAUAAAACUAAGUGAAGUAUCAAAACUUGGUUUCCUAAUGACACUAAACUCUGUGGACAAUAGCAAACAGAAUACAUUUGGAUAUAGUAAGAACAGUAUUAUGCCAUGAGUUCGAGGAAAAAUGCUAGAAUCAGAAACUCUGAUUCCCUAAACAAAAUUAAAGAGAAAGCCAUUUGAUCACUUGAAAAUAGUGCUGGUACUUUCCUACAAAUGUGGGUGUUGAAAAAUUUGAGUUUUCCAGGUUUUCUCUCUUCAGCAUGUGGCUGGCAUGCAAGACGGGUUAGGGAAUGGGCAAACUCAUCUCUCUUGGGGAUGUGCAACCACCAGCUCACCUGCUUUUAUAGCAUUUGGGUUGAGGGUUCGUGCCCUUCUGCUGCAGGGAGAGAAAGGACCUUGCCCCAGCACUGCCUGGGUUUGGUGAAGCUGCUGGGUGCCAGAGUACUGCUGCUGCCUGUGGGGAGCAGUACAAAAGCCUCAGCUUUUGGCUACCCAUUGGUACAUUUUGGGGGUGUCGACAACGCAAAUGGUUUCAAGGUCAGGGAGAGGGCUCUGUGCACAUGCAGGAAAAUGGGAUGUCAGAGCAGAAAAGUUUAGUUUUUUAUCUGAGUACCACAACGAUGUCUGCGUCUUUCCCCCCUGUUUUCCUUUUCCCCCAUUGAUGAGCGCUGUUUUCAGUAAAUGCUGUACAGGCUACUUUCCUCUCUCAAAUUGGCAUAGCAACAGCAUCAGAGCCAAAAUCAAAGCAUCAAGUUAACAACACGCUGAAAUGGUUUCUGAAUUCGUAGUAUGCUCUCAUUUAUUUGAAGCGUAAGGGAGGGGGCUACUGCGCAGCGUACACCUUAGGCUGUUUGAAGCCUUUGCUCUGUGCACGCCCACUGCCAAAUGAAGAUAGGCCAGUUAAAUACCUGUUCUUUAAUUAGGUUUAUCCUCGUUAGCAUCUGUAUGAAAAACAUUGAAGUAACCCGAGGAUAUAUUAUGUACCUGCACCGUAGAAACAAGAAAACAUAAGUUUAAUAUUACUUAUUGCUGGUGUCACAUGAAGGCAAAAAAUGCCAACCAUUCAUCAACCCUGCGAUCUUUUUGGGUUAACAGAAGCAAGAGAAACAACUGUUGCUACAGAUCCUUUCCGAAGGAGGCAAAUUCUCCCCUGUCAACCCUCAGAUAUGAUGUUUUUAUGCACAGUCCGAGUGGCAUAUGUGUUUUACAAAACACUCCCAUAUUCUAACAUCUCUGGAGAAAUAAGCUGCGUUAAAGUCUGACUUCACUGGCGUUGUGAGAAGUACAGCCACACUCGGCUAAUUUAAAUAGUAAUAACAACUUAAGUCAAAUAUUUAAAAAUGUCUCUUUUCGUACUUUGUUUACAAACAUUUCCAAACAGUAUCUUCAGGCUCUCCAAGGCUGCUGGCUGUGAUUCUGCCAUUAGUAGACCUCUGGGAUUUUUUUCACAGCAGAGUAAAUUGUUUUACGCUUAGUUCACUCCCGCAUCAAGGGUUCAAAGACUCUUAUGCACCUCGCGGAUGUUAAUAAAGCCUGCAGUGAGGCUUCUGAGAGGCUUAACUCUUCUUGAUUAGCAUACCUCCACUGUACCAAAAGCCUUUGGUAUGACUGCCUCCCCUUUGUUUUAAAUACGAACGAAAGAACAGAUCAUUUUGAAGUCGGCAAAUCCACUUGUGCACCUGACCCUCCGACUUCCAUGUGAGCACAGAUAAUGACUUCAGAGAAUGACAUGCAAAGAAAGAAGCUGGAGACAAAGGGAAGAAUGUGUACUGUAAUUUCCCUUCAGUGCUAUGUAGCUCACCCCAACCCCCUGAGAAGCUUUUACCGUCUUACUGCUUAAAUGCAGAGCAGCCUGAACCUUGCAGUCCUACAGGUGCUUUCCAGUCACGUGUGUGCAUGUCUUGCUCCAUCUAUUCUGCAACGGGCUGACAGCUUCAUUGUGAAAUAAAAUAAAAUAAAAAUCAGUUUAUACACGUUCAGUGGGUGAACACAGAACAGGAUGCCUCUGGUCUCCUGAACUCCCCAAGAAGCCACUGUCCGAUUCAAUCCUGCGGGCUCUGAGCUCAUGGUGGGACACCAGCAUCCCUUGGCAGUGUCCCCUUGUCCCCUAUGGGACAGAAAUUUCCCUCAGCCCCAGGAUUUUAUCCCUGGGUUGUUUGAGGCAAGGUGUCCUCUCCUGCAACUUUUGCUCACAAGGGGACGAUGUGUACGUGGUCAGAAUGCAACAGAGAAGCAAACCUGAAUGAAUUCUCUGCUGAUGUCUCUUGCCCACUUAUAUUCACCUGGAAGACAAGGCUAUAUUAUUACUAUUACUAUUAUUACUAUUAUUAAUAAUAAUAAUUAUUAUUAUUAUUAUUAUUAUUACUGCUCUUAUUUACACUCAGAGCCGUCAGUUUGGGCUGGAGAAAGGCUGUUUUAAACAUUUGUUUUCCAACCUGCAGAACUUUAAAAACUUUCCCCAUAACUCUCUGGAGUCUCAGGAGAGAGAAUUUUUUUUUUUUAAUUCUUAUUUCUGAAUUCUUAACUAAUUAGGAUGAAAUGACAUUGUCGCACAUGGAAUUAAUUGAAUUCUGCCAGUGCUGCUUAAACUCUUUAAGACAUUCCUACCUAAAUGAGCUCUUUGCUAAUACAAGCUGAAUUUUCAGCUCUCCGGGCCAAUUUUUGCACAAUAAGUAAAUGGUAUUUAUGCACGGGGAGGCCUCAGCGUAAUGCCCUCUAUUGCAAAUUCUAAUAAAAGGCUGCUCUGUUUUGGCUCCUUAUUAGAAUAACACUAUAAAUAGCCUCUUUGUAGCAAGGACUUUUUAAAAAUGUGGAAAGUUUUGCUCCAAAACCUCCUGGUGCACAUUGUGCCACCAUCUGGCAGAUCUGGCGUUCAGGGCAGCUUUACCUCCCAGCACUUCAUUCAUGCUGGGGUAGCAAAGAGUGCCAGAGAGGUAAAAAAACAAACAACAACAAAAAAAAAAAAAACAAAAAAAAACACAAACAUAGUCUUGGGAGAAAAUAAAUGAGCUGCCUGAUGUAAACUAGCACAAAAAAAGCUGCACCAUUUUAAUAUACCUCAUGAAGGUCCUGUAACGCUUGCUGAAGCAAAAUUCACGCUGAUUUAGUGUCUAAGACUGCAGGACUUAGACUCCAGAUUGGUUCAUGUUAUGCUUUCGAAAAAAAAAAAAAAAAAAAGGAACAUAGAGACAUUGCUUUUUUCCUACAGUAGAUUAAUUUUAUAGAAAGAGUGCUGUUGUGAGCAGUAUUGGCUGCAGAGGCAUGAUUGCCCUUGGAGCGAGACCAGAUACAUAAUUCAGUGUAGGCAGAAAAAGAAAGAUUUACCAAUGCUGAGCAAGAGAUGAUCUAAUGAUCUAAAGCUGUUUUUAUUUGGAUGAUAACAUAUUCAGGGUUGGUAUUUUCUUGCCUUUCCAGAGGACGUAAAGCAGUAACAUGCCUCCAAAGAGCUCACGCAUCCCUUUGCUUGGAGGCUUGCAGAA